rnacentral:tRNA from 1 species
GCAUUGGUGGUUCAGUGAUAGAGUUCUCGUCUUCCAUGUGGGAGACCUGGGUUCUAUUCCCUGCCAGUGCA